rnacentral:rRNA from 1 species
CAGCCCCUCGAGUGGUGGGGAUGAUUAUUUUGCCUAAAGCGUCCGUAGCCGGCCGAGCAAGUCUUCCGUUAAAUCCAGCGUCUCAAGCGUUGGACCGCGGGAGAUACUACACGGCUAGAGAGUGGGAGAGGUCAGCGGUAUUCUGGGGGUAGGGGCGAAAUCCUUUGAUCCCCGGAGGACCACCAGUGGCGAAGGCUGCUGACUAGAACACGUCUGACGGUCAGGGACGAAAGCUGGGGUAGCGAACCGGAUUAGAUACCCGAGUAGUCC